rnacentral:rRNA from 1 species
AACGUAGGGGGCAAGCGUUAUCCGGAUUUACUGGGCGUAAAGGGUGUGCAGGCGGGGUAGCAAGUGGGGUAUGAAAUCUCCAGGCUUAACCUGGAGGGGUUAUGCCAGACUGCUGCUCUAGAGGACGAGAGAGGGGGGUGGAAUUCCGGGUGUAGUGGUGAAAUGCGUAGAGAUCCGGAGGAACCCCAGAGGCGAAGGCGGCCCCCUGGCUCGUACCUGACGCUCAGCCACGAAAGCAUGGGGAGCGAACGGG